AGCUUGCUACUGGACCUAGCGGCGGACGGGUCCGUUAUACUUAGGAAUCUGCCUAUUAGUGGGGGACAACGUUCCGAAAGGGACGCUAAUACCGCAUACGCCCUACGGGGGAAAGCAGGGGAUCUUCGGACCUUGCGCUAAUAGAUGAGCCUAAGUCGGAUUAGCUAGUUGGUGGGGUAAAGGCCUACCAAGGCGACGAUCUGUAGCGGGUCUGAGAGGAUGAUCCGCCACACUGGGACUGAGACACGGCCCAGACUCCUACGGGAGGCAGCAGUGGGGAAUAUUGGACAAUGGGGGGAACCCUGAUCCAGCCAUGCCGCGUGUGUGAAGAAGGCCUUAUGGUUGUAAAGCACUUUAAGCGAGGAGGAGGCUACUUUGGUUAAUACCUAAAGAUAGUGGACGUUACUCGCAGAAUAAGCACCGGCUAACUCUGUGCCAGCAGCCGCGGUAAUACAGAGGGUGCGAGCGUUAAUCGGAUUUACUGGGCGUAAAGCGUAUGUAGGCGGCUUUUUAAGUCGGAUGUGAAAUCCCUGAGCUUAACCUAGGAAUUGCAUUCGAUACUGGGAAGCUAGAGUAUGGGAGAGGAUGGUAGAAUUCCAGGUGUAGCGGUGAAAUGCGUAGAGAUCUGGAGGAAUACCGAUGGCGAAGGCAGCCAUCUGGCCUAAUACUGACACUGAGGUACGAAAGCAUGGGGAGCAAACAGGAUUAGAUACCCUGGUAGUCCAUGCCGUAAACGAUGUCUACUAGCCGUUGGGGCCUU
rnacentral:rRNA from 1 species